GGGUUGUGAGGUUAAGCGACUAAGCGUACACGGUGGAUGCCCUGGCAGUCAGAGGCGAUGAAGGACGUGCUAAUCUGCGAUAAGCGUCGGUAAGGUGAUAUGAACCGUUAUAACCGGCGAUUUCCGAAUGGGGAAACCCAGUGUGAUUCGUCACACUAUCAUUAACUGAAUCCAUAGGUUAAUGAGGCGAACCGGGGGAACUGAAACAUCUAAGUACCCCGAGGAAAAGAAAUCAACCGAGAUUCCCCCAGUAGCGGCGAGCGAACGGGGAGGAGCCCAGAGCCUGAAUCAGUGUGUGUGUUAGUGGAAGCGUCUGGAAAGGCGUGCGAUACAGGGUGACAGCCCCGUACACAAAAAUGCACAUACUGUGAGCUCGAUGAGUAGGGCGGGACACGUGGUAUCCUGUCUGAAUAUGGGGGGACCAUCCUCCAAGGCUAAAUACUCCUGACUGACCGAUAGUGAACCAGUACCGUGAGGGAAAGGCGAAAAGAACCCCGGCGAGGGGAGUGAAAAAGAACCUGAAACCGUGUACGUACAAGCAGUGGGAGCCUCUUAAUGGGGUGACUGCGUACCUUUUGUAUAAUGGGUCAGCGACUUAUAUUCUGUAGCAAGGUUAACCGAAUAGGGGAGCCGAAGGGAAACCGAGUCUUAACUGGGCGUUAAGUUGCAGGGUAUAGACCCGAAACCCGGUGAUCUAGCCAUGGGCAGGUUGAAGGUUGGGUAACACUAACUGGAGGACCGAACCGACUAAUGUUGAAAAAUUAGCGGAUGACUUGUGGCU
rnacentral:rRNA from 1 species